GCCGAUGUGGUGAAAUUGGCAAACACGCACGAUUCAGGUUCGUGUGCCGCAAGGUUUGUGGGUUCAAGUCCCACCAUCGGCACCA
rnacentral:tRNA from 1 species